rnacentral:rRNA from 1 species
UACGAAGGGGGCUAGCGUUGCUCGGAAUCACUGGGCGUAAAGGGUGCGUAGGCGGGUCUUUAAGUCAGGGGUGAAAUCCUGGAGCUCAACUCCAGAACUGCCUUUGAUACUGAGGAUCUUGAGUACGGGAGAGGUGAGUGGAACUGCGAGUGUAGAGGUGAAAUUCGUAGAUAUUCGCAAGAACACCAGUGGCGAAGGCGGACUCGACUGGCC